UACGAAGGUCCCGAGCGUUGUUCGGAAUCACUGGGCGUAAAGGGAGCGUAGGCGGCGUGGUAAGUCAGAUGUGAAAUCCCGGGGCUCAACCCCGGAACUGCAUCCGAUACUGCCAUGCUAGAGGAUUGGAGAGGUAGCUGGAAUUCUUGGUGUAGCAGUGAAAUGCGUGGAGAUCAAGAGGAACACCUGCGUAGGCGAAAGCGAGCUACUGGAC
rnacentral:rRNA from 1 species